rnacentral:rRNA from 1 species
CGUAGGGUGCGAGCGUGUCCGGAAUUACUGGGCGUAAAGAGCUCGUAGGUGGUUUGUCGCGUUGUUCGUGAAAUCUCACGGCUUAACUGUGAGCGUGCGGGCGAUACGGGCAGACUUGAGUACUGCAGGGGAGACUGGAAUUCCUGGUGUAGCGGUGGAAUGCGCAGAUAUCAGGAGGAACACCGGUGGCGAAGGCGGGUCUCUGGGCAGUAACUGACGCUGAGGAGCGAAAGCGUGGGGAGCGAACAGGAUUAGAUACCCUGGUAGUCCACGCCGUAAACGGUGGGUACUAGGUGUGGGUUUCCUUCCUUGGGAUCCGUGCCGUAGCUACCGCAUUAAGUACCCCGCCUGGGGAGUACGGCCGCAAGGCUAAAACUCAAAGAAAUUGACGGGGGCCCGCACAAGCGGCGGAGCAUGUGGAUUAAUUCGAUGCAACGCGAAGAACCUUACCUGGGUUUGACAUGCACAGGACGCCGGCAGAGAUGUCGGUUCCCUUGUGGCCUGUGUGCAGGUGGUGCAUGGCUGUCGUCAGCUCGUGUCGUGAGAUGUUGGGUUAAGUCCCGCAACG